UACUGAGUGGCAGACGGGUGAGUAACAUGUGGGAAUCUGCCUUGUGGUUCAGGACAACAUUGGGAAACCGAUGCUAAUACUGGAUAAGCCCUUACGGGGAAAGUUUUAAUGCCAUAAGAUGAGCCCGCAUUUGAUUAGUUAGUUGGUGAGGUAAUGGCUCACCAAGACAAUGAUCAAUAGCUGAUCUGAGAGGAUGAUCAGCCACACUGGGACUGAGACACGGCCCAGACUCCUACGGGAGGCAGCAGUGGGGAAUCUUGCACAAUGGAGGAAACUCUGAUGCAGCGAUGCCGCGUGAGUGAAGAAGGCCUUUGGGUUGUAAAGCUCUUUUGUAGGGGAAGAUAAUGACUGUACCCUAAGAAUAAGGUCCGGCUAACUUCGUGCCAGCAGCCGCGGUAAUACGAAGGGACCUAGCGUAGUUCGGAAUUACUGGGCGUAAAGCGCGCGUAGGCCGUUGAGUUAGUUAAUUGUGAAAUCCCAAAGCUUAACUUU
rnacentral:rRNA from 1 species